rnacentral:rRNA from 1 species
CCUACGGGGGGCUGCAGUGGGGAAUAUUGGACAAUGGGGGAAACCCUGAUCCAGCCAUGCCGCGUGUGUGAAGAAGGCCCUCGGGUUGUAAAGCACUUUCAGUGAGGAAGAACGCCUGGUGGUUAAUACCCAUCAGGAAAGACAUCACUCACAGAAGAAGCACCGGCUAACUCCGUGCCAGCAGCCGCGGUAAUACGGAGGGUGCGAGCGUUAAUCGGAAUUACUGGGCGUAAAGCGCGCGUAGGUGGCUUGAUAAGCCGGUUGUGAAAGCCCCGGGCUCAACCUGGGAACGGCAUCCGGAACUGUCAAGCUAGAGUGCAGGAGAGGAAGGUAGAAUUCCCGGUGUAGCGGUGAAAUGCGUAGAGAUCGGGAGGAAUACCAGUGGCGAAGGCGGCCUUCUGGACUGACACUGACACUGAGGUGCGAAAGCGUGGGUAGCAAACAGGAUUAGAUACCCCUGUAGUC